CAGAGGUCACACACAAACAGACGGACAUAUACACACACACACACACACACACACACCGAAUCAACACAGCCUUGUGCCUGUAAUUGAAAAUGACAGGAAAAAACCUUCACGUUGAAACGAGAUGUCAUCGUCUGGUUUCCAUCCUCUGGUCCAGAUGGAUGCCUACUCUCUCUUCCCGCUCAGCCUCACUUCACCACAGACAACAUGUCGAGAGAUGAGUCAUACACGAAACCACACACUUAUACUCACAGAAGACAGCAUGAGAUGCUAAAAAAGUCAAAUAAAGUGACAUGCGAGCCUUUA